UACGUAGAAGACUAGUGUUCGAUUCAUCUUUAGGUAGGUUUAAAAGGGGUGCCUAGACGGUAUAAUUAGUCUUAAAUAGGAUACGGUUAUACUAGAAUUAUAUAUAAGGUAGGUGAGUAUUUAAGGAGUUUAGAGUUGAAAUUUGUUGAUACCUUAACGACUGGUAAAGGCGAAAGCAACCUUUUAUCUAAUAACUGACGUUGAGGGACGAAGGCUCGGGUCACGAACAGG
rnacentral:rRNA from 1 species